rnacentral:rRNA from 1 species
UUCGUCACACUAUCAUUAACUGAAUCCAUAGGUUAAUGAGGCGAACCGGGGGAACUGAAACAUCUAAGUACCCCGAGGAAAAGAAAUCAACCGAGAUUCCCCCAGUAGCGGCGAGCGAACGGGGAGCAGCCCAGAGCCUGAAUCAGUGUGUGUGUUAGUGGAAGCGUCUGGAAAGGCGCGCGAUACAGGGUGACAGCCCCGUACACAAAAAUGCACAUACUGUGAGCUCGAUGAGUAGGGCGGGACACGUGGUAUCCUGUCUGAAUAUGGGGGGACCAUCCUCCAAGGCUAAAUACUCCUGACUGACCGAUAGUGAACCAGUACCGUGAGGGAAAGGCGAAAAGAACCCCGGCGAGGGGAGUGAAAAAGAACCUGAAACCGUGUACGUACAAGCAGUGGGAGCACAGAGCAAUCUGUGUGACUGCGUACCUUUUGUAUAAUGGGUCAGCGACUUAUAUUCUGUAGCAAGGUUAACCGAAUAGGGGAGCCGAAGGGAAACCGAGUCUUAACUGGGCGUUAAGUUGCAGGGUAUAGACCCGAAACCCGGUGAUCUAGCCAUGGGCAGGUUGAAGGUUGGGUAACACUAACUGGAGGACCGAACCGACUAAUGUUGAAAAAUUAGCGGAUGACUUGUGGCUGGGGGUGAAAGGCCAAUCAAACCGGGAGAUAGCUGGUUCUCCCCG